GAAAUCAUUGAUUUUAAACAAACAAAAUCAUCCAGCAAGGAUUCGUCGUUGUAGUUUUAUAAUAAACCUUCGUAACAUACAUUCGUUAUGGCCCAAAACUCUAUAAGUAAUCAUUUCUUGAAGUUUCAGGUUACUCCUCGUCUGUUCUCGAUGCUAUCGGUUUUUUUGUAGACAGAUAUUUUCAAAGUAAUACUCGGAGUUAGCUCUGUAAAAAGGAUGAAGCGAAAAAAGAAAAAACAUCACUGGUGUGAUUUAACUGCAAUGCUGGCUGACGUUAUCAUCGUAACUUCCGGGUGGCAGGAGACAUCAUUUGGAAGAUCAUGUAAGUGAAUGCAAGUGUUUGAAGAUUUAUGUGAUACUAAAUACAAAAAUUACGAGAAUUUAAUUCCACAGGUUCAUAUUGAUAAAUAUGCAGUGCAGCCAAAUUGUUUUGGUUAUUGAUGACGGCAAUGUUUUCACCCGGAAACCAUCCCAGCUGAACGUAAAGUAACCAACAUAAGGAAUAAUAUCUAUAGUACCAUUCGGCGCACUCGGCGAGGCAAUUACAAUCGGAAACCGAUAAGACCAAGGAGAACAGGAGAAUUUCCCGACGAUGAGGUGGUGUAAAACGAUUAUUCUUGUCGAAUAAAGAAGCUUGGUGCGAUGACGAGCUUACUGUAAAUGUCAUGAAAAAUUUUACCUUGAAUUGUACUCAAAAUUCAACACUUAUCGGAAGUUGAUCUGGAAGAGGCUCUACAGACAACCGCUUAGGCCCCACCUAUGAGAUGUUUACUUAAGUAUCAGCAUAAGAGGGACAACAUAAUAGGACCAGCACGGAAUUCUCCACCGGUGUUGUCCGGGAGGAAGGGCUCUUUAAGCCACAAUUGCAAAACCAACUCGAAUAGUCUUAAGCAAACAAGUAUCUGAGGAUUUAUGGCCGCAGUACAGCCAGUGAUGAUACUUCCAAUACCGAAGAAAAUGAACGGACGAUGAAAAAAAUCUAUCGUUGGGAACACCAUCAUCGAUGACUGGGAAAAAGGAAAAGGAGUACCAAUUUCAAACGUCGUCGAAGACUUCAAUAUUAAAACACGAUAGAAGCCGUUAAAAUUAAAA